UGUGUGCCAUGUGAGAAAGACUUUUUGUCCCAUUUCUUUCCUCUCAAAUUGGGCCAUCUUAGACAAUACGUUGGCCAAUGGACUAAGCCUAGUUUAAUCAUUAGCCUGGCUGAAAAGCUGAGUCUCAUAAUGGUGAUGGAAUUUUAGUAAUACUUACCAAAAUUCAUUACGAUAACUAUUCUCUAGUAACAAUUUUAACAAAUAUUACAAAAGAUACCUAAUAUUGCAAUAGUUUGUUAAAAGUAUUAGCAAAAAUUAUUAUAUAAUGAUGGUAUCUCAUAAUAGAUAC
rnacentral:lncRNA from 1 species